rnacentral:tRNA from 1 species
GGAGGAAUACCCAAGUCCGGCUGAAGGGAUCGGUCUUGAAAACCGACAGGAGCUUAACGGCUCGCGGGGGGUCGAAUCCCUCUUCCUCCGCCA